rnacentral:rRNA from 1 species
CCAGACUCCUACGGGAGGCAGCAGUGAGGAAUAUUGGUCAAUGGCCGGAAGGCUGAACCAGCCAUGCCGCGUGAAGGUCAGUGCCCUAUGGGCGUUAAACUUCUUUUGUGCGGGAGCAAUAAUGGUCACGUGUGGCCAGACGAGAGUACCGUACGAAUAAGCAUCGGCUAACUCCGUGCCAGCAGCCGCGGUAAUACGGAGGAUGCGAGCGUUAUCCGGAUUUAUUGGGUUUAAAGGGUGCGUAGGCGGAAUGCCAAGUCAGCGGUAAAAUCGCGGGGCUCAACCUCGCUCCGCCGUCGGAACUGCCGGGCUAGAGUGGGCGAGAAGUGCGCGGAAUGCGUGGUGUAGCGGUGAAAUGCAUAGAUAUCACGCAGAACUCCGAUUGCGAAGGCAGCGCACCGGCGCCCUACUGACGCUCAGGCACGAAAGCGUGGGUAUCGAACAGGAUUAGAUACCCUAGUAAG